rnacentral:lncRNA from 1 species
UUAUAAUUUGGUUUAAUACUUAUUUUGGUCGGGUGUGUCCAAAGUUGUCUUUUUUUUUUUUCAAAAGUUCAUUAAUAUCAUACUUUUCGCAAAAACGGUGCAUGUCGACAAAGUUGCCUACGUGGUGAAACCUGAAUGAGCUAUACAAUUUAUUAUUAUGUGGCAUUCUUGGUUUUCCUUGUUUUCAUGGCCGCACUUUCAGUUUCCCCCGCUCUCAAUUC